rnacentral:rRNA from 1 species
GAGUUUGAUCCUGGCUCAGAUUGAACGCUGGCGGCAGGCUUAACACAUGCAAGUCGAGCGGGCGAGGUUGCUUCGGUAACUGAGCUAGCGGCGGACGGGUGAGUAAAGCUUAGGAAUCUGCCUAUUAGUGGGGGACAACAUUUCGAAAGGGAUGCUAAUACCGCAUACGUCCUACGGGAGAAAGCAGGGGCCCUUCGGGCCUUGCGCUAAUAGAUGAGCCUAAGUCGGAUUAGCUAGUUGGUGGGGUAAAGGCCUACCAAGGCGACGAUCUGUAGCGGGUCUGAGAGGAUGAUCCGCCACACUGGGACUGAGACACGGCCCAGACUCCUACGGGAGGCAGCAGUGGGGAAUAUUGGACAAUGGGGGGAACCCUGAUCCAGCCAUGCCGCGUGUGUGAAGAAGGCCUUUUGGUUGUAAACACUUUAAGUUGGGGAGGAGGCUUACCUGGUUAAUACCUGGGCUAAGUGGACGUUACCCACAGAAUAAGCACCGGCUAACUCUGUGCCAGCAGCCGCGGUAAUACAGAGGGUGCGAGCGUUAAUCGGAUUUACUGGGCGUAAAGCGCGCGUAGGUGGUUAAUUAAGUCAAAUGUGAAAUCCCCGAGCUUAACUUGGGAAUUGCAUUCGAUACUGGUUAGCUAGAGUAUGGGAGAGGAUGGUAGAAUUCCAGGUGUAGCGGUGAAAUGCGUAGAGAUCUGGAGGAAUACCGAUGGCGAAGGCAGCCAUCUGGCCUAAUACUGACACUGAGUGCGAAAGCAUGGGGAGCAAACAGGAUUAGAUACCCUGGUAGUCCAUGCCGUAAACGAUGUCUACUAGCCGUUGGGGGAUUUGAUCCUUUAGUGGCGCAGCUAACGCGAUAAGUAGACCGCCUGGGGAGUACGGUCGCAAGACUAAAACUCAAAUGAAUUGACGGGGGCCCGCACAAGCGGUGGAGCAUGUGGUUUAAUUCGAUGCAACGCGAAGAACCUUACCUGGCCUUGACAUAGUAGAGACUCUCCAGAGAUGGAUUGGUGCCUUCGGGAAUCUACAUACAGGUGCUGCAUGGCUGUCGUCAGCUCGUGUCGUGAGAUGUUGGGUUAAGUCCCGCAACGAGCGCAACCCUUUUCCUUACUUGCCAGCAUUUCGGAUGGGAACUUUAAGGAUACUGCCAGUGACAAACUGGAGGAAGGCGGGGACGACGUCAAGUCAUCAUGGCCCUUACGGCCAGGGCUACACACGUGCUACAAUGGUCGGUACAAAGGGUUGCUACACAGCGAUGUGAUGCUAAUCUCAAAAAGCCGAUCGUAGUCCGGAUCGCAGUCUGCAACUCGACUGCGUGAAGUCGGAAUCGCUAGUAAUCGCGGAUCAGAAUGCCGCGGUGAAUACGUUCCCGGGCCUUGUACACACCGCCCGUCACACCAUGGGAGUUUGUUGCACCAGAAGUAGGUAGUCUAACCGUAAGGAGGACGCUUACCACGGUGUGGCCGAUGACUGGGGUGAAGUCGUAACAAGGUAGC